rnacentral:rRNA from 1 species
GAUGAACGCUGGCGGCGUGCCUAAUACAUGCAAGUCGAGCGAACGGACCAGAAGCUUGCUUCUCUGAUGUUAGCGGCGGACGGGUGAGUACCACGUGGAUAACCUACCUCUCCGACUGGGAUACCUUCGGCAAACCGGAUCUACUACCGGAUAAUUUUUUGAACUGCAUUGUUCAAGAGUUAAAGUCGGUCUUGCUGUCACUUAUAGAUGGAUCCGCGCUGCAUUAGCUAGUUGGUAAGGUAACGGCUUACCAAGGCUACGAUGCAUAGCCGACCUGAGCGGGUGAUCCCAUACCCGGGAAGAGAGAAACGGCAGAGACUCCUACGCGAGGCAGCGGUAGGGAAUCUUACGGGAAGGGCGAAAGCCUGAUGGAGCAAAGCGGCGGGAGUGAUGAAGGUGUUAGGAUGGGAAAGUGAUGUUGGUAGGAGAGAAGAAAAGUGUAAGUAACUGGGAAGAUAUUGACGGUACCGAAUGAGAAAGCCCCGGCUAACUCCGUG